UACGGGGGGAGCAAGCGUUGUUCGGAUUUACUGGGCGUAAAGGGCGCGUAGGCGGCUCAACAAGUCACUUGUGAAAUCUCCGGGCUUAACCCGGAGCGGCCAAGUGAUACUGUCGUGCUAGAGUGCGGAAGGGGCUACUGGAAUUCUCGGUGUAGCGGUGAAAUGCGUAGAUAUCGAGAGGAACACCUGCGGCGAAGGCGGGUUGCUGGGCUGAUACUGACGCUGAGGCGCGAAAGCCAGGGGAGCGAACGGG
rnacentral:rRNA from 1 species